CAGACCAAAAUUCUUUAUAAUGAAGAGGGUAUAUACAAGUUUACUUCAUUGAAUAAAAAUUAAGUCAAACUGCAGUGAAGGAGGUGCAACAAUAAUGGAUUUAUUUUAUAUUCUUUCUUUUCAUUUUAGAUAGUGCCAAAAUGCAGGAAGCAAUUUCCUUUAAGUAAUUUGGAAAGCAAACCAAACAAGGCGCUGAUUUGCAGAUACUCCCCAUUGUUUUUGUAUGUACUUCUCAACUGCAAUAGCUGCCGCAGGUGUUGACGGCGGAGGUGUCACCAUCAAAACCAUUAGAAACAACACGACCAAGUUAAUGAUGCAAGUGGAAGUUUUGCCAUGUAAUAAUCGACCGCUGACGCCCUUCUCGAUCAAUUGUGUAAGUACGUAACGAAACAUUCAUAUCGUAGUCAACUAGCUUAAUCUUCAUCUUCUAGGUGUAAAGAGUACUACCAGUCUGCAGUUCUGCAAGAGACUCAAACAAAACAAGAAUACAAUCGCAGGAAGACUCCAAAAAAUGUCCAACCCUGACUGUAAGUGAGUUCAAAUUUUAAAUCUACAACGAAUCCAUUCAUUUUGCUCCUAAGGAUCGCACUGGCUUGACGGUGUCAAUCAUUCGGAGGCAAAUGAGCUGGCCCGACAAGAAUCCCCCAAGAAGCCAAACAGAUUCAGAUCAGUCUCUCGGCAGCUACUGACAAUGUCGGCGAAUUAAAUCCAUCGAUUUUCAUACAGAAAAUCAACAUCAAAAAAAUCACGACAAUUCAGCAGCGUCAUGGUCAACCUGUCGAUCAACCAUUCACAGUGAACAACCUCUAUUCGUAGCAGAAGCGAUCUCUACGUUGUCGACAAUGCGAACACAAUGUCAUCAAGCCGGAGUACCAUCCAGGAUCGAUCAAGUAUCGCAUUCAAUUGUUUGCUAACUACCAUGUGCCAGACGUUCUGCUUGUCCGUUGUGAAAAGCCACUGAAGCCUGGCACGUCCACUGAAUUGAUCCUCAAGCUAACUAACCCAACGAUGUACCAUAUGACCACAACCAUUAUGAAAGUGCUAACCAAGGAAGAAGAACGGCGAAUGAUCGACUUCGAAUAAAAGUUCAACGAAAGGAACCAAAAUUCACCACUUGGAGAAAGUCCAAUAACGUAACAAUUAAAUUGAACUUCACACCUGAAGAAGGAUUGAAACCAGGCGAUGAUGUUACCCUUAGUUUCUUGAUAAAAUAUACUUUUGUGAAUACCUACACGCCCGAAAAGAAAGAAUGUCAAAAACACGCAUUAUCAUCGAAAGUUUUUGUAAAAGUUGGUCAAAUUGAAGCCUAGAUCUAGAAAAUAAUCUUUUUUGCAAAAAACUUGUUUAUUUAUUUUGAGCUAUACUGUAAUUUUGUAUAUAUUGUAUAUUCUAUUGUU